AGCAUUGAUUCUCAGAAACGGUUUCUUUGUGACGUAUUCUCAAAAUUAUAAAUGUACUUAGAAGAAUCACAAACAUACAUAUUUACCUAAUAAAUACAAUAAAUUUUAUCACAAAUCAGCAAAUUUUGGAAUCAACAAAAGAAUGACGAGCGCAUUUCAGUUUACAGCGCACGUACUGGAAGCUCUCAAAAGGGAAAAAGCCCCGAUUUUGAAACAUUCUUCAUUGGUGCUCUUAUCUUAGGGUGAUGUUAUAUAGCUUCCUCAAUAAAUGGGCUAUCUAAUACUGAAA